CGCGGGGUGGAGCAGUUGGGUAGCUCGUCGGGCUCAUAACCCGAAGGUCGCAGGUUCAAAUCCUGCCCCCGCAACCA
rnacentral:tRNA from 1 species